AUUGAACGCUGGCGGCAGGCCUAACACAUGCAAGUCGAACGGUAACAGGAAGAAGCUUGCUUCUUUGCUGACGAGUGGCGGACGGGUGAGUAAUGUCUGGGAAACUGCCUGAUGGAGGGGGAUAACUACUGGAAACGGUAGCUAAUACCGCAUAACGUCGCAAGACCAAAGAGGGGGACCUUCGGGCCUCUUGCCAUCGGAUGUGCCCAGAUGGGAUUAGCUAGUAGGUGGGGUAACGGCUCACCUAGGCGACGAUCCCUAGCUGGUCUGAGAGGAUGACCAGCCACACUGGAACUGAGACACGGUCCAGACUCCUACGGGAGGCAGCAGUGGGGAAUAUUGCACAAUGGGCGCAAGCCUGAUGCAGCCAUGCCGCGUGUAUGAAGAAGGCCUUCGGGUUGUAAAGUACUUUCAGCGGGGAGGAAGGGAGUAAAGUUAAUACCUUUACUCAUUGACGUUACCCGCAGAAGAAGCACCGGCUAGCUCCGUG
rnacentral:rRNA from 1 species